rnacentral:rRNA from 1 species
GACGAACCGUCCGAACGUUAUUCGGUAUUACUGGGCUUAAAGAGUUCGUAGGCGGCCAGAUAGGUCAGAUGUGAAAUCCCUCGGCUCAACCGAGGAAUUGCGUUUGAUACCGUCAGGCUUGAGGGAGAUAGAGGUGAGCGGAACAGAUGGUGGAGCGGUGAAAUGCGUUGAUAUCAUCUGGAACACCGGUGGCGAAAGCGGCUCACUGGAUCUCUUCUGACGCUGAGGAACGAAAGCUAGGGUAGCGAACGGG